AACAAACCUGCUGGAAGCCCAAAAAGAAAUCUACAUGAAACAGUUGGGCGGGGGAAGUUACAAAAUUUUGAGUCCAUAAAUUGCCCUGGAAGGCCAAUCCAAAUACUGGCACUUGAGUCUGUACAAGGGCGGCCGGGCCGAUAACAUCGGUUCUUGGUCAAACCAUGAAAACAGUUUCGGAAUGCCUGCCUCGAGUGUGUGUACAGCUGCUCCCUCAGAACAAAAUUGAGAUAUCAGCAAUAUUUCAGACUCAGACAAGGCUGAAACUAUUUCGAAUGUUCAAUCAUUGGGAGCUUCCAUGUGUAGAACCUAAAGAAGACCAGGCAAGAACCAAGUAUUACGACACAGCCUUACCAUCAUUAGAGAGAGCAAAAAGAGGAACCGCCGAUACGAGUAUGUCUUAAUAAACAUACAAAAUAAUGUCGGUUCAACGAUGAUAGAGAAUAAAUCAAAAGAAAAAAAAAUCCCUAAACUUCAAUUUAUUUAUUUAUUUAUUUUUUUUUUGCAUGAGAAGCGACGAAUCAGCUACACGUACAGAUCUCAGGACUUUCAAUUUCUAAAUAGAGGUUUUAUCUGAAUGAGUCAUAUCACCUAUUCUAUCUUCCAAGUACAAUCUAUGGAUUCUUAAAACUUCCUUUUGGAACUCAUGCAAAAGCAAAAAAGCAAUACUGAACUAAGAAUUCAAACAACUAAACCUUUGAAAUUUGACCCAGAAAGAACUCUAAAUUUAGCUCCGAUUAAGGCAAAUACAAGAAAAUGUUAACCACCUUGAAAGAAAUACCUCACUGUGGUGCCAACACUUUGACCCCAUAAGGAACUCUAAAUAUAGCUCUCAUUAAGGCAAACACAAGUAAAUGUUAACCACCUUGAAUGAGAUACCUCACUGUAGUGCCAAAAAAAAAGGUCUAAUAAUGCACAUCUAAUCCAAUGGAUUGACCUAACAUCAAGAAUCAUGAAACAUUUUGCAUGAGUUAUUCAUAUAAAAGAGAUAAAAAAGAGAUAACAUUCACAAUGCAAUCUUUUCAAAAUUAGAGAUAAAAAAAAGGGGAAACGAAAGAAAAUUGACGUAUUCAUAUAAAACCGAUGACAUCUCACAGAAAAUCAGAAACAAAUCCCUCAGGAUCAAUAGAUUCAAUUCAUAAUACAAAAGUCAGUCCACUACUUUAAUCACGAACGAUGAUCAUCAUAGGGAUUUUAUAGCACGUCAUUUCCUAAGCGCUUCACAAAAAAGUUCCAUUUUUCCCACGAAUAAUAGAUGCCUGAGAGAUGCAAACCACAUAAACAACACCCGAAAGAAGUUGGAAUAAUCGGAUGAAUACGAUUUUAAGAGUAAAAGAAUCAAUCGACAGGUUUCCUCAGUUCAGGUCUCCAAAAAUCUUCCGCAUCGUAUGUAACCUCGGAAGAACGAAAGUUAUUUCAUCUCGAUCAUCCUCGGAAACCAUAAGAAUCAAUCGAAACAACAACAAAUUAACACACACACAAACACGAAAAAGAACUUCUUUUCCAACACCUAAAAGCAAUAAGAACCAACAAAAUAUGCUGGUGAUAUAGCUUGGCAUGAGAGCAGAGAGAUGGCUUGCCAGAUGGCCCCAUUUCCGCCGCCAACGGAGCCGAUGAAUGCCUCUCAUCACUGAGAAGACGUUAAUUUAUAGAUGGGAUGGGGUGCCCUAAUUUCGACGAUGAAAGAGCGCACAACGAUGAAAUAAUGGGCCAUCAUGUU
rnacentral:lncRNA from 1 species